GGGGGGUGGGAGGGGGGCAGACGUCGAGGAAGAGACGUGAUCGACGAGGCAGAGCGUGACAUGGUGUGUCCAGGAGACGGGAGACAAAAGUUGGCUUCCCGCUGGAAGAACGCGGAGCAGCUGGCCAGCAUAUUCUGAUCCACAGAAAGCGAUACUGGGGGCCACGUCUUCCUUUCCCACUGCCUUCUCCACACAGUUUAUUUCAGAGAGAGAGAGAGAGAGAGUGGGGGAGGUGCAGAAAGAGAGAAGGCGGAGAGAGAGAGAAUCUCAAGGAGGCUCCACGCAGCUUGGUACGAAGCCCGUUGUAAGACCCGAUCCCCUGACCCUGGGAUCAUGACCUGAGCGGAAAUCAAGAGUCGGCCGUUCAACCAACUGAGCCACCCAGGUGAGCCAAGUUUCCAGAGUUUUACUAUUACCAUAAUGCACAUUUAUGCAGACUUCGUGGUUUAGGGAAAAACCCUCUCAUGGAUCUCAUCUGUUCCACUCAAUAGCUUUGCGAGAUCGACAGGGCAUCACAGUCUCAUUUUAUAGUUGAGAAAACGGACUUGCCCAACGGGAAACAGAGAAGCUGUGUUUGAAUAUGCGUUUCGGGCAGCCUAGCGAGGUCCCUGUAUGCGGUGGCCGUGGGGAGGAGGGGGGAGGGUGGCUGUGUGGAGACAGAUGUUAACACAGUUAAAGGCAGUUGUAGGUGAGCAUGGCUGGAUAGGAAACCUGCUGAAAUUUUCUGCUUAAGCAUGACCUUCCCUGAAGGUCAUGGGCUGGGACCGAUGCAGGCUGGAAGCACAAGUCUCAUUUCUGCGACUACUCGAGUCCCGGAGAUAAGCAGAGCUCAGUGUCCUGAGACUCUGAGAAAUACCACUUUCCCAAGGGAGCCUCUGCAGAAAGAGGGAGGGAGGUCACACUCACCUAGGAGAUGGGGACUCAGACACCGUUGACGCAGGGACCCUGAGGGAAGUCCUAGGCCAGCAGAGGAAAUGAGCCCUGCUGUUUCUCAGCUGCAUGGCUUAGGAGCCGGCUCGUGCACACGGUCCUGAGGGCUGGCCGCCCCGACCGUGCCCUCGUGGUGGGGAAGGUACGGCGUGCCAGGCAGUGUGCAGAGGGCUCUCGUGUGUUCCGUCAUCUGGUCUUUGCCACAGUCUCACGAAGAGAAGCUGUUUUCAUCCUCCUGGUUCAGCUGAGAAAAUGGAGGCCCGCAGAUGGUUAGGGAGCUUGUCCACAACUACUUGGACGUGAGGAGUACAGCUGCACCGUCGGGGGAGCCUACGAUCUGGGAUUCGGGAAUCUUCCUUCACAGAUACCCGAAGAGAGAGGGAAGAGUGGGUGUGGGGCUGAAGGUGCUUGGCUGGUCCGGGCCGGCACUGUGUGUGACUUCGGGGCCAUAAAGGGCCUGGUGCUGAGUCACCCAGCUGCGCCACGGAGGUGACGGGGGUGUGGGGCUCAGAUUGGGUGUAUUUGAGGAUGGGGGGACCAGAUGGAUGCGGGAGGGGAGGCUCAUCUGCUUGUAUUUCCAGGCACAUUCUCCUCCCACAUAAAGACACAGGGGGGACAUAAAGAUGUUGGCAGGGGUCUGCCCGUGGCCUUGGGCUUCCCCCUUCUCAUGACGUGGGGCGCGACAAGGAUCAGGCCCUGGACACCCGCCAUGCCCGGACUCGCUUCUGUGAACUUCCUGACAUCACAAGCGCUGUCCCCGCCCCCCCCAGGGUGGACGAGAAAGUGGCCACGACAGUGUCUUGCACAGCUCCAUUAAGAGCCUGGUGACUCUGGCCUGGCCCCUUUUCCAGACGAAGUUGCCCUUGCCAGUGACAAAGUAAGGGAAGGGGGGAGGGGCGGGAUAACCAGUCCUCAGCACAAGCUGCCAGGGAGCCCAGCCCCUUCCGGGAGGGUGAGAUCUGAGCAGCACGCGGAGCAAGGCCUUCCGAGGCUAGAAGGGAUGGAACAUUCCACCCCAGGCCCAGGACGCCAGGACCUGGGGCCCACCUGCGCCCCACUCAUCGACCUCGCUGGCCCCGCAACCUGAGGGAGGGAUAUCCUGCUCCACUGGGGACACAUUUCCAGCCCCCUCCUGAGAGAGGCAGUGCGUCAACCAGACUGUGUCCACAGACGGAAACGGUCAAAGCUGCUGAUCGAUUGCUUCUUCGCGAGCAGUGUGCUCCAGUGAUCAGGAAGAUGGACUUUGGGGCAAGCCGGCCUGGCUCUGAUCUUGACCCCCACCCCCGCUUCCUAGCUGCACAAGUCAGCUACCUUCCCCCAGGCUCAACUCUCCCCCUCGCCCCCUAAGACAGGGAUGUGACUCAGCUGAAAUUCUCCCGUCACAGCUGCGGCAUUAAGUGCACCGCUAGGAGCCCGGUAAUUAUUAUAUGCAAAUAGACAUCUUGUCGCCUUCAGGACAAGCUGCCACGUGUGCCUCCUGUUCCCACCCUUCCUCGGUCCGCUCCCGGAUUUCUGUGAAUUUCAGGUUGCUGGGGCUCCCGAUUCUGCCCGUGUUGCAGGAUGAAAGGAGGGCGGCCACCCCCGAGUGAGCUCUGCGUGGGCGCCUCCCUCGACCCGCAGCGCAUCCCCAGGCACUGGGUUCAGAAAUGAUCCUAAGAGCACGCCUGUCCUCACAAAGCUGGUCAUCGUGCAGGAGAGACAGACCAAAGACACGCAGCCUAGAUAGUGUGGUAGGUGCCGUCCCAGGGACCACAGACGAGUGCCGAGGACAUGUGACAUUCCACUAAAAGCCAUCCUGCAGGGCAGAGGGUCCGUUUGAAGGACUGUGGGAAAAGUUAAGAGUCAAGCCCAUGGCACCACUUGCCAAAAGUCUGUGGCCCAACACUGCCCACGGGGUUCCUAUCCAGCCCCGACUAAAAGGAGAACAAGCAAACUGGGUUUCUCAGCCUGACGGGAUCCUGGCUCAAGGGCACAAGUCUGCAAGCUUGAGGCCACCGCUCCGAAAAGAAGAGCAAGGCAGAGAUAAUUCCACAGUGUUAACGUUAAUGACCCAGGGAACUGGGGGGCU